AACGAAAUGCAGGGGAACCCGCACCACUAGGCGGGUUGAGAUGGGCGAUGGCCCGACCCUUUGAACCUGUUGGUUAAGACCAGCGUAGGGAGCAGUGAAUAUGAGCGA
rnacentral:ncRNA from 2 species